UAUAUAUAGUUGAGUAGGAAUGUUAUCAGUAGCAAACGGGCUCCGUAGUUAUCCAUUUGUUUUCGAUGAUGGAGCCUCCAAAUCAAUGAUCGGCAUCGUUGAACAUGAUCUAUACCACUUGAAGCAUUUAGAAAUCAAAUUUUAUACUUUUCCGACAUUAUUUUUUUGUCUAUCAAGUGGACACAAAAUAAACGGCUGAAAAUGAAUAUUCUUUAAAAAGUGAUAAUAGGAAUUUUGUAAUCAAGAUCGAAAGUAUAGAUCUUGUUCUAAAUAAUUUAAAGAAUUUUUUAAUCAAAAUUCAAUUGAUUUGGAUAUCUUUAAACCGUUAAAUAAGAAAAACGCCUCAUAUUGACCAUUAAAAUUACAAAUUUUGAAACCCUUUGAUCAUUAGGUCAAUGAUAUCGAAAAGAUUUGAAAUUUGGUUUCUAGAUAUUUCAAAUGGUAUAGAUCUUUUUCAAAGAUACUGAUCGUCGAUUUGGAGGUUUCGUCAUCGAAAACAAAUGGGUGGCAACGGAGCCCGUUUGCUACCGAUAGUAUUCUAACUUAACUCUCUCUCUCUCUCUCUCUCUCUCUCUCUCUCUCUCUAUAUAUAU
rnacentral:lncRNA from 1 species